GACGAACGCUGGCGGCGUGCUUAACACAUGCAAGUCGAACGGUAAGGCCCUUCGGGGUACACGAGUGGCGAACGGGUGAGUAACACGUGGGUGAUCUGCCCUGCACUUCGGGAUAAGCCUGGGAAACUGGGUCUAAUACCGGAUAGGACUCCGGACUGCAUGGUCUGGGGUGGAAAGCUUUUGCGGUGUGGGAUGGGCCCGCGGCCUAUCAGCUUGUUGGUGGGGUGAUGGCCUACCAAGGCGACGACGGGUAGCCGGCCUGAGAGGGUGACCGGCCACACUGGGACUGAGGUACGGCCCAGACUCCUACGGGAGGCAGCAGUGGGGAAUAUUGCACAAUGGGCGCAAGCCUGAUGCAGCGACGCCGCGUGAGGGAUGACGGCCUCGGGUUGUAAACCUCUUUCAGCAUCGACGAAGCGAAAGUGACGGUAGGUGCAGAAGAAGGACCGGCCAACUACGUGCCAGCCGCCGCUGUAA
rnacentral:rRNA from 1 species